rnacentral:tRNA from 1 species
CCGGACGUAGCGCAGCCCGGCCGGCGCACCGUCUUCGCAGGACGGGGGACGCGGGUUCGAAUCCCGCCGUUCGGG